rnacentral:rRNA from 1 species
UGGGGAAUAUUGGACAAUGGGCGAAAGCCUGAUCCAGCAGUGCCGCGUGAGUGAAGAAGGCCUUCGGGUUGUAAAGCUCUUUUGUCAGGGAAGAAACGGUGAGGGCUAAUAUCUCUUGCUAAUGACGGUACCUGAAGAAUAAGCCCCGGCUAACUCCGUGCCAGCAGCCGCGGUAAUACGGAGGGGGCUAGCGUUGUUCGGAAUUACUGGGCGUAAAGCGCACGUAGGCGGCUUUGUAAGUUAGAGGUGAAAGCCCGGGGCUCAACUCCGGAAUUGCCUUUAAGACUGCAUCGCUAGAAUUGUGGAGAGGUGAGUGGAAUUCCGAGUGUAGAGGUGAAAUUCGUAGAUAUUCGGAAGAACACCAGUGGCGAAGGCGACUCACUGGACACAUAUUGACGCUGAGGUGCGAAAGCGUGGGGAGCAAA